UGUUCCGACAGCACUGUGUGCAAACGGGCAGGGAGAGGGACAGGGAGAGGCGGCGGGAACCGGCCCGAGCACCAGGGCCUGGAAGCCGAGACACCGGAGAAAGCCGGCCGCUGGCGGCCAGUCCCGCGCUUGCGCAGUCAGCGGUCCUACCUGCCGCGCAGCACCCCAGGGACAGCAGGACAAAGAAAAUCAGGCGCUGGGGCGAGCUAGUAGAGGGAAGGGCGAGCCACGAAGCUGCCGCUCCCAUUAAAACAGACAACUCUGCUAUGCUUGGUGUUAGUCCAAGACCCUGCCAGGAAGGAGCUGGCUCACAGAGAAGCCACGGCUUCAUUUUUUCCCAUACUCAAGUGGCCCAAAAGCAACAGAGCCAACUGAGCUGGGACAGAAAUCUAUGAAACUGAGAACCAUUCCAGAUGUCGAUUUCCUUAGGUACAGUUCCUCAGUGACAGAAAGCUGACACAUGAGCUUCCUUAAUUUUCUCACAGGUGGAAAAUCGUGGUUGACCAAGGCCUCCUAGAAGGAGAUGCUUCCCAUCAGAGAGAAACCUCUAAAAGCCAGAUCUCAUCCCUACAACCUCAAGAAGCUAGACUCUUCUAACUGCCAUAAUGAGCGUAGUUCCAGAUGAGAGCACACUUUGACCACAGCCUUGUGAGACCCCCAAAGACACUGAGAACUGAGGCUCCUCUUUGGCUGUACUUCCGACAAAUUUUGUUGCCUUUAUAACAAUAAUCCUUUGUGUGCUUUUCUCACUUCACAUUGACACAAUACACAGUUUCUCAGACGGAUCCAGAUUGCUGACAUGGGGUAUCUGCAGCAGUCCCUCCGGACUGUGGGAGGCCAUGGUGGAGUGAGUCAGAAUAUCCAGAGAAAACCGUUUCCUGGAGUUCAAGGAUGGCUUAGUAAGGAAGACAGCCCAGCGUUUUUAAUGCCUUUUAGAAAUCAGCUCAGGCUGUCUUAACGACAUUGGUGAAAUCACCAGGGCUGAUACCAUCAAAAAUCAGUCUUCAGAGGCGUUCAUAAACUUUUAUGUGUUGUGAAGUGAAAUAUUUUAGUAUUAUGUGCACAAGUCUUGACUCUGGUACAUGUUAUUUGGAAAAAGGGUCUUUGAAGAUAUAGUCAAGUUACAAUGGGGUCACAUUAGAUAAGGGUAGGCCCAGUGACUGGUGCUCCUACAUGAAGAGGGGAGUGUGGACACAGACGCUCAGAUGGGCGAACACUGUGUGAGGACACAGAAACAGACAAAUAAGAGAAUGCCCUGUAAGACAGAGGCAGACAGAAGUGUGUUGUACCAACAGGGCAAGGAAAGCAAGUGCUCCUGGCAACAGCAAACCCUGGAAAAGCAUGACCCUCCCUUUUAGGUUUCAGAGAAAACAUGGCCCUGAUGACACAUGGACUUUAGAGUUUUGGAUUGGAAACCUGGAGAGAACACACUUCGGUAGUUUGAGACCAGCAAGUCUGUGGUACAUGGCUGCGGCAGCUGUAGAGAAUGGUAUACCAUAAUUGCCCAGAAUCCUGAAUGCAUGCAAGGCAUUUAAACAGGGUCUCAGACAGGAGCUGAUGUGACAUCCAGAGCACAAGAGGCUGGCAGCCUGGAGGACGACCCUUCAAAGAAGCAAGGAAAGCAAAUCCUCGUCCGAGUUCUUAGGUAACACACUAGGACACUGCACUGUUUUGCUUUGUGGGUGGCUUCGCAGCUAAGCCAGUUUUUAGAUGCCACCAGCUGAGUUUAGCUUGGAAUGAACUGCUCCUGGCCAGCAGUAGAUGGGAGACAAAGACAGAAAGAAAACAAAGAGGUUUAUGAAGAAUUGUGAGGUAGUGUAGAGUGUAAACAGAAACAAGGAAAUGAGAGUAUUGAGACUGUACAUCUCUACAGAUGUUUUAUGUUCACUACCUACCUUCCUGCUCCUUGAGACACCAAGAAAGAGGGAAGUUCCUUCCGACAUCUCAUAUUGUAAAAUUUCUACGACUGGCUUUUCCUUUUGUAACUUUGCAUAUUUGGGGGUUAAUCUUGUAUCCACUUAUAGCCUCAUUUUCAUACUCUGGCUGGGUGAAAGGACCACGCUAAACUGGGAUUUCACACUGUGAGUCUCAACCCAGCAUUGUGUUAUGAAAUCUAUUCCAUGAGUUGAGACGAGCAUAAUGUAAAGAAAGAAAAAUAAGCAGAACAGAAUAAAAGAACAGAUAAUAGAAAAUAUCAGAGCAAUGCUGUGAAUGUAGGGUUAUGUGCUAAAACUACGUAGAGCCAUGAGUGUAUGUGAAAAUACUAAAAAUCAUUUGUCAGAACGUACUGUGCAAGCUGUCAAAGGAGAAAAAUUAUCAAUAGUCCUAUCAACCGUAAAGCUUGAGAACCACAACAACGACCAGACUGAUGAGACAUCCCCAGUAGUGCACUAUUAGCACUGUAUCUUAGCAGUAAGCAACAGUUGUCCAGUAGGUCAUAAAGGGCACUCAAUUUGAGGGAAUUCAUGUCUGGUAAUACCAAUCUAAACAAGAACCUGUAGCUAGAGAGAUAGCAGGCCCUAGAGGAGAACCUACUACCAUCAUGUGACUAAAGUGAUCUAGUCUCCAACUGCCUUUCAAAUACUAUCCUUACAUCCAUAGGUAAGUGCAGUUUCUACCCGUCAUCGCAGAAACUUCUUUUUGAAGUAGACAGAAGCUGUCAGAAUGACCUACAACCUGUCAAAAUGCCGAAUAAAGGACAGUGGGGGAACCUGGCCCCAAGUGGGACAUCCAUAACACAGUAAGGCUCAGGGAACUUCCUGAAGGUGGGGGCAGAAAGAUUUUAAAAGCCUAAAUACCAGUUUUUCUUGGGUAGUACAGGAAUGCUAUGCCCAUGAACUCUAAACAAUAUCUUGCCUUCAUAAUAGCAACAAGACCACAGCAGUCACAGACCAACAUGGGAGGACUCCACCCUUACAUGAAGACCUAAAGGCUUUCAAGGGUGGGAGAAUCAGUUGUUUACUCUUUUAGGGACCAGAUCAGUCCUAAGUGGUCAGCCUUAUACACAUGCAAAUGAGGGCAACACUAAUUGAAUGCAGUAGAUUAUGUGUGCCUGUUUGUGUACAUAUCUAUUUAACUAUAGAAGAGGGAAUGAAUUUGAAAGGAGAUGGUGGGGGGACAUGGGAAGAACUUGGGGAGAGGGAAGAGUGGGGCUGGUGCAAAUGCAGUGAACUCAUGUAUGAAAUUUUCAAAUGAUUUUUUUUUAUAAAAACAUUUCUUAACUUGCUCAGGUUAAAAAUUUUUGAAAGCCACCAAACUGUGUUACCAUAGGACCUUUUCUAUCUCAGCUAUUUUUGAACUGAUGACUGGCUCCAGGAUACUUUACAGAAUGAACUAGAACACACCGAGCAUACUUUAAAAUGUAGAAAGCUGAUAAAUUAGAGAAAAAAAACAAAAAACAAAACUAACAAACAAACAAACAAACAAAAAACACUGCUUCAAAAUGGCCUCAUAACCCACCCUAUUUCCAUCAGGUGUUGGGAACUAUGUAGACAGGGCCAUUUCUAGGCCAAGGUAAGGGGUUGUAUUCGAGAUUAACUUUUGCCAGGGGAAUAUGGAUGGGAAUAGCACACUUCAGAAGACACGCCCACUUCUAUAUAAUUAAAGGUAGUUGGGAAUAGGCCACCUCCCAGGUCCUGAGCUCUUCCACAUUGCACUUUGGACCUGGCCUUUACCAGAAGUGGCCAGUGUACCCUGAGGAGGGGAAAGCUGGAUCUAGUCUAGACAAGAUUCCGUCAUGCCAAAGACAUGCAUGAACAGGCCUGCCAAAGAUGCUCAUUGCUGUGCUCAGCAGACCAUUCUCCUCCUGGCUCUGGGGUAGAUGAAGAAGUAAACAGCACAGACUCCAUUUUCUAAGGGGGUGGAUCUUGUGUGCAGAUGACAUCAAUAGAUAACUUCCUUUGCUGCAAUAGUCCACAAUCAAUAAUCACUCUGUUAAUCAUUUCUACUCCCUGUACACACAGAGUUCUGCCAAGAACACAUUUCAAAUGCUUUCUGUUCAAAGUAAAUUUGUUAUUUUGUAUGAAGAAACAUUUUUUCUUGGGGAAAUGUGGCAAUCAGGCACACUUCUUAAACAUCCAGGAUCUGCAAAUGUGUUUGCCUUUACAUCUUGCUGAAUGCACAUGAGUGUGUAGCACCUAUAGGAAGCUUCUUGUUUGUGAGGGCAGACCAUUCAACCUCCUGACCAAUGAUUGAUGUCACUAGGUCACUCCUGGGUCCUGGCUCAACAGAGAAGAAUGGUCUGUAGUUCUUAUCAUAUCCACGUCAUGGUGAAUGAUACCUUACUUUAUCUGAGUUUAUUUUAUUUUUAAUUGACAAAUAAAACAUAUUUAUGCUGUAUAACUUGAUAUUUUGAUAUUUACAUAUACUGUUGAAUGGCUAGCUUGAGAUAAUUAACAUAUUCAUUGCUUCACAUAUUUUCUUCUUGGAGUAAUAAAAAAUGUCUAUUCACCCCAUUAGUAAUUCUGAAGUCUGAACUAUACUGUAAUUAACUGUAGUCACUAUGAUUUGCCAUUAGAUCUCUUGAGAGCAUUUCCUCCAACAAACUGCAACCUGGUUGCCUUUCCACAGCAUCUCCUUAGCCCCUGGGGACCACUCUCCUAUUGUCUGUCUCUGUGAGUUCUGCUAUUUUAGAUUCUACACAUAAGUGAGGUCAUACAGCACGGCUUUUCUGUAUCCAGUCUACUGCAGGUGACAUAAUGUCCCCCAGCUCCACUUGUGAUGGGGUUUGACAGGGUUUCCUUCUUUUUGUGGCUGACUAGCAUUCCCUCUUGUAUACACUAUCACCACAAGUAGAGACCUGUGCUUACUACAAACAAAGCUAAGAGGAGCCAAGCUCCCACUCAGUAUAGCCGUCCAGUGUCUUAUAUUAAAACACAGACCUUUUCAGCAGACAGUAUGGGAGCAACCGGACAUCACAGGCAAAAGCCAUGCACUGUGAUGUAACCUCCUCAAAAAUUAAAAAGGAAAGAACUGCAAACUUAAAUCUAGAAUACAAAACAAAAAACUUCUAGAAGAUACUAUGAGAAAAUCUUUGGGACCUGUUCUCAUGGAGAAUUCUCAAACAGGACAGCAAAAAGCACAGUCCGUGAAAGAAAAACACGUUUGUGAUGAAUUCUUUUAUCUGUCAAACAACUCUGUCAAAGAAGUUGAAAGUGAGCUAUAGACUAUUUGUAAAGAACAAGUCCAAUAAAGGAUUCACACGCAGAGUAUAGAAAGAACCCUGACACACGUGUGCUCUGGCAGCAUGCCUAAAUUCAGUUUUGCUGGAGGGAGGUCUUUGAGGUACACAGCAUUUCUUUCUCACAGGCUGCUGGGUUGACUUCCUGUGUCUACUCAGGUUUUUGAGGUCCUAUGAAAAUAAUACCUAGCAAAAAGCAAGCAAGCAAGGCGUGCUUCUUGCACACAAACUUAGAAGGCUGCUAAAAUUUUUCCACAAUCAGCAAAUGACAGUGCACGCUGUGGUUUCAAAGUCUCCGUCAAAAUUUAAUCCUCACUUUGAGGAAUUAAAAGGUGACACCAGGCAGAACAUUUAAGAGGUGACUGAGCCACAAGGGUCUGACUUCAGGAGUGAGCUAAUCUGUCUGGCUACCUUCAGAGCCGUUCUAGUACAGGAGCCCGCUCGCCUACCCCUUGGCUAUGCCUCUUUCCAUGUGACCCUCUGCACGGCCUUGGGGCUCUGCAGAGUCAUGACCAGCAUGAGGGUCCUCUCCAGAUGUAGCUUCCUGACCUUCAGCCUCCCAAGCCUCUCUAACCUGGAGCUGAACAAAACCCUAUUAUUUAUAAAUCAUCCAGACUGUGGUAUUCAGUUAUAGCAACAAAGACAGACUGUGACAAUACAGUAUUUUAAAUGGAAACUGACGUGAGAAAAUCAGCAGUAAAUAAAAUAUUAAAAUGUAAAUGGUAAGAAGAUUUAAUGACUGUCUCAACCUUCCCUGGGACCCAGACUCUGGAAAAAGAAAUCACACAAAGAGCACAGAUCCGAGAAGAAUGAACUAAUGAGCAACUCCCACCUCUUCAGUUUCUUUCCCUAAACAUUUCCUCCUGAUUCAGAACACAUAGUUCACCCCAGCAGCCACAUUCUGACCACUUGUCAUCUCUGCAGAGCCCACUCUGCAGGACACAUCUGGACAGAAGGUACAUCUGCUCACCUGUCUCUAAUGCAGGCUGAGACCCAGCACCGCCCCUAUGGCCUCUCUCACUGCUGACCUGCUCCCUCCCAGACUCCUCUCUGGAUCCAAACUGUGCGUUUCUCUUUUUCACCCAGCCCUUACUUAACCCAGGACUCCCUGGACAGCUUUCCAGAAAGCUGAGUUUUGAUUUUCUUUAUCCUUCUGAGACCUCCUAAGUAAGUACUUUCUGCCAUCCAGAAGAACGGAAAGAGCCUGUGAGUGGUUCAGAGUCCAGGGCUCUGUUCUAAUACACUCUGCACCAGAAACGAGCCCCAGACAACAUGAACGUGCUGAUAAAGCGAUGCAGCUUAGGACUUUCUUUGUCCAUGCUACUGUUCCAUUGCUCUAGAGCAGGGGCAGUGAUGGUACAGAGACUCAUGGCACGUGGGUUAUCCAGUUCCAUCUCAGCGGCACUCCCUCAUCCAUUCGAUCACAGCCACAAUCUAGGGCUCUGCUGCAAUACCUAGGCUCUUACCAAGACUGACCCACCCACUCAUGUUGGGCUGGAGAGGACAUUACUUAAUCCAUUCAUUAGCUGUAGGGUAUAUGUGAUCCCAAAACUAAUUGAAAAUUUUUAUAGAUGAGUUUGUAAAAACCCAUUUCCCCCAGGCUGUCCUGAGCUGGAGGAGGAAGAGAGAAGUGUAUAAACUUUCAGGUGCUUAGGUAUUUUAGCUGACUUGGCAUAAUUGACAUAUAUUCCUUAUCAAUUAAUAAAUGAACUAGAAAAGUUCUUCCCACCUCUGGAGACAGUGUCAAGCCUAAAAACAUACUGUACAAGGAACUUUCUGGUGUGUACAUGCUUUGGGGAUAGAUGGUAUCUUGGACAAAUGUUACCAGAAGACUAGUGGACAGAACUUUGCCACCUAACACUGGAGGAACAUGCGUCCUCACUGCUACCACUUAGUAUUUCCUUCUGUCUCCAUAUGCCCAUAUGCAAAUGUCAACGUAUAAGAUCCUAUAAAAAAUGGGAACAAGAUAAGUGCUCCCUGGUUUCCAGGGAGCCAAGAGUACAGCCUCCCGAUGACUCACACACAUUGUUCUCAACUCUUCUUGACUGCCAUGUACUUUACCCCAAGAGCCCUGGCCAUCUCCUCCCCCUUCUACACCCACAGUGUCACUGGGUCACUUCAGAUAGUGCUUAAACAGAGAAACAUUACAACUGUGCCAAGCUUUACUAGCUAAACAAAAGCAAGCCUGGUGGCGUCAGAGCCUGCUCUCCAAUCCCAGCUCAGGACACAGCCUCCAGCUCUUUGCAGCUGCUUUAGGGUGGAAGACAUAACCCUGCCUCCCACCAGCCACCUCUCCAGAGCAUCCCUUCUAGUUAGCUUUCCACUAAUUCCAGAAGAAGACAUCUUGCAGCCUGGCACAGCUCCCACACUUCCUGAGAAUGCUGCUUCCCUGCUUUUCUAGCAGACCCAGAUCUGUUAUCGUAAACAGCUGCCCUGCUCCAAGGUGUCCUGAGCUGUUCCACUUGAAAGUAAACAUUUGUGCUAUUUAAUCACAUCGUAAUUGUGGAGGAAGAACCAAAUGAGAAAGUGUGAAACAAGGUGUGCAGAACAGGCACAUGCGUAUCCUGUGGGAACACAAAACAGGCAACAGUGCAUGCACACACACGUUUCCUUGUGCUAACACAACACAGGCAACAGGGAAUACUUGCAUGCUUCCCACCGAGAAACCAAGGGGAAGGCAGAUUUUUUACUUUCCAUGUAAAUGGCAUGACCAAGAUAAGGUCAGUUGUAAGGAAACUAUCACCAUUCCUGCUGUGUUAUCCACUUAUUUCCAAGAAAAUAAUUCUACAGCCUUAACUGAUUUUUUCUCUGAAAUACUAUUUAAUGAUUAUCAAGGAAUUCUGUGUUCCAGAGGCUCGAUGCUUCGCCCAUUCACAUUUCCGUUUGAGUAGCCUACACUGGACAACAUUAGUCACUGAAAUUGUCAUUUUUGUUUGUUUGUUUGUUUUGUUUUUGGAGACAGGGUUUCUCUGUGUAGCUUUGUGCCUUUCCUGGAACUCACUUGGUAGUCCAAGCUGGCCUUGAACUCACAGAGAUCUGCCUGGCUCGAAAUUGUCAUAUUUACCAAGACUUACCAAAGGUGAAGAGUUGACCCACACAUGCACUAUAGAAUCUUAAUGGUCUCACCUAAGCAUCAAAUGAUUUUUCCAAGUCACUCGUUACUUAUGCAUGUAGCACACACCUGUUGGCAUUACUGUGGAGUUUUUCCAACUUUGAUUCAGCUGUUAUAGGUUUUAUCACAGCAGUGACCUCAGUUUUCUAAUUUCAAACAGAGGUGGUUCACAUCCCCAGCUCUUUGCAGUCUCCUUCAUUUUAUCAUUGUCUAUUCUUCAUAUGUUUAUUGACGACCUACGAUACAAUGGGCAGUGACAGGGAACAGGCAUACAUAUGAAGAUGCAAAGCUCAUACACAGUUUCUCAGAGCUCUGACAUAUGACAUAUUCAAGUGGGGACUGGAUAAUAUGUGUAAAAAUAAUUCUUCAAGAAUGAAGAGCCCUAUGAGCUACUAAUAGCAUUCAACUGGGAACAACUAUUUUGCCAGAGGCUUCUAUGAGAAGCAAGGAUCUUUUUCUUUUCUUUUUCUUUUUUCUUUUUUUGCAAAGAGCAUUGAAAGAUUCAUACAGAUCUCUAAUAUCAACAAAUUAAGUCACACUUAUAACAUAGCUGCGUUCUUCCUGAAUCUUGGGAGUACAUCUUUUUUAACUUGAUUAUACCGAAUAUUUGAAGCCUACGUUCCUGUCAUGAGUAUUCUUAGGAGGCCAAGCACAUUACAGUGGUUAAAGUUGAGUGCAGGUCAGUUCAGUUAUUUCUAAACAGAUGAAGGGUGUGUGUGUGUGUGUGUGUGUCCAUGUGUCUCUGUGUGUAUGUCUGUGUGUCUAUCUGUGUGUGUUUGCAUGUGAAAAUAGGCAUACACAAUGACAAAACUCAGAAAGGAGAAUCUUUCUUUCAACAUUAGUUGUUCCUAAAAUCUGGGCCACAUAUUGUCCUAAAAAUUUAAAUCAAGGUUCGUAACGUAGUGCUUAUUAAGAUUUUUUUGUCUGCCAAGGAAAUCACCUUUUGCUGCUUUCACCCAGCCUUCACACUAACAUCUUCAUGUGUUGUGACUUGUUAAAGGAACUACAGGGCUUUCUGGGGUCUUAAGGGUAUUUGCUCGACAUUUGUUAUCAUUUCUACUGAUUUGUUCAGUUAUGGUGAAAAUUUUAUUUCAAACCAAAAUUUUAGCAAGGUUAGUUGUGUGGAAAGUUCCUAACACUCUUGGAUAGGAUGGAUCGUAAUAAAAACUCUUGGAUAGGAUGGAUCGUAAUAAAAACUUUUGGAUAGGAUGGAUCAUAAUACUUUUUAAGCUGAUAAAAUAAUGCUAACAGAAUGUUCAAAAUGAACCACAGUGGCACCUCAAAUGAGAUGUUUCCAUACCAAUCGUGCCAUUCAUAACUAAUUGCUAAUGGACAAUGGCUAGGCUGGAAAAAACGGACAAGGACAAUUAAUUGAGUUAAAUAAGCUUGGAUAUUUCCAGUUGAAUGGAAAUGCCCACUGAGUAUGCUUGCUUAUUUUGCAAAGAACUGUUAUGUAGUUAUAGAUUGCAUUCCCACCAACUGACAGCCAGCCCAUCUAAUUUAACACUCUUUUUAGCUCAGCAAAUUCUGAUUUGGAGCCUUGAUGUGCAUGAGUUUUUGUAGAAUUGUAUUUGCAAACCAACUGAAAAAAAAAAUAGAGAGUUCCGAUCCCAGAGAACAUGGUGUAGCUCAGAGCUUGCCAGAGACAGCAGCUGUGAUUGCCUGAGAGCCGCCUGGGCUCUUUUCUCACCAGUGUGGUAGAGUCUGCCUUCUGAGCAAACUUGUGACAGGAACUCAGGCUUCAGGUAGCCCAACGCCAUCAAAUCCAAAAGGAUGCGUUCUUAAGAUUUAGGAAGAACACAGCUAUGUAUAACCUCUGACGUAAGUAUGGUUUAAUCAGGGGGAAAAUCAGAUUAGCAAAUUCAUCCAGAAUGAAUUGCUUUACUGUUGUUUCUAAGUAUAUUCCACAGUGAAUUUAUUCUGAAAUUAAAUCUAAACUGUUUAUAGUAUAAAAGCCCUAAUCUAAGAACUUGAGUCUCAGUGGUGAUGUUUACAAGACAGUUGAGAAAAUGUCCUCCACAAAGGGAAGGCUCAGAGCAAAAGGUCAUGCUUACAGGUGCUAAGAAGUGGGGUCCUUUGCCUAUGCUAGGAAGAGGGCAAGAAGGGCACCCACUAUUAUCCGGCUAGCUGACACAGUCUCCUGAUCUGUGGAGAUACCAACUUUUGAACAUUUGUUUAUUUAUUGCUUGUUUGUACUUGUGUGUUGGGGGAGAAGCAGCGUGUGCAUGUUGAGAUCAGGACAACCUGUGGGAGGUCACUCCUACCAUGUGUGUCCUGGGUUUGAACCUUUUUCUUCUGAGUCAUCUCUCCAGGCCCCUGUGGAAUUUGCAAAGAGUGUGUUCUUUACACAGUUUUUAAGAGUUCUCUUAGCUCUUGCUUCUUCAUGGUCAGUCUUUGGGGAAAGAUGCAGAGUGGAUCAUGUGACCUGUUCCCCGAGGGCUGCUUUUUGGUGGUACCCACACACCUCUGCUUUCUGUUCAACUACUGUUACCUGCUCUUUAGAACCUUGAAGCAUUUGAAGAAGAGCAUUUAGUGGCACUGGUAGAAGUUUUCUUUCUUGAAAUUUCCUUAUUGGUUUCCCACUAAUCUCAUGGUUAUAGCCAAAGGCUUCCAGAACAGAACUAUAAAAUAACAUGACUUUAAUUUUGGGUAAAAUUUCUGGAUGAAAAUACAUUUUUUAAAAUGACCUUCCCAGAAGAACUUUUUAGUUAUUUGAAUGAUAGAUUAGGCAUUAUUCCUUAACUAAGCAAAAUAAUCUUGACAUUGCAAGGUAAUCUAGUUGGUUAGAAACUUCCUUUGAUGUUAAAAUAUGUAUUACAAACAUUAUAUAUUCCUUAAUAAUACUAUACACACAAAAGCAGAAGGUAUGUGGAGAGAGGGGAAGAAGAUGGUUAAAACAAUUAGGUGAUUUUUAAGAAUUCAUAUUACCCAUAGAAAUGCUUCUGGAAAGACCUCCCUGGCCUUUCAUCGGGAGUGAAAGUGCAGAGCCGUGACUUACACAUUUUGUUUCUAUUUCAUGGCAUGAGCUAACUAAGGAAGCCCCCUGUGAGUUAGUGUUUGCUUCACACUUUGUCACAGCUUGCAGUUUUGAUCCCACACAGCCAGACUUUAAAAGGAGCAGGGGUAUUACUGCCCCAGGGUAAAUGACCAGCCAGGAGGGGAAUUAAAAUGAAGUUGCAAAGCGAAACUGGUCCUCCAGAAUUCCUUACUGGAUCCAGAAUGGACCUCACUGUCAAAACAGAUGAUGUGAAACAUGACUCAGAGUCUGAGAAGGAGCGUGGGGUUGUGGGGCGGUCUUUCAUCCUAUAGCGAAAAUAGAAGGGGCCCAUGUGAGACAGGGAAUGACAGAAAGCAGGCUCGCACUCUUCCGGAAGAAUUAGAAAUCAUAAAUAAGCCAGCACCUAAGAGCCUGCGCCCAUGUCUGAGGGCUCAGAGCAGCCCUUGAAGCAUGCAGACUAUGUGCAGUUUCCACAAGGGAAGGGCCAGCUUGAAGCAUGCAGACUGUGCACAGUACCCGUGAGAGAAGGGCCAACUUGGCUCAGCAAGGAGUUGAUUAUUGUUUAAGUUCUCCAGGCAAUGGUAUAAACCAUAUUUUAUUGCAUUUUACCAUAAAUUUGUUCAUUUUAGGGGAUGCAAGUCACUAUACAAAGUCUGAAGAGAAAAACUAUAUGUUAUAUUGUUUGAUAAAGUAAUGGAAUAAAUAGUAUGCUUGCUUAAAAAACAAACAAAUAAACAAACCGCUGACAAUA